GCUCUUGAAGAGAACUGGGGGAAAGCACCUGGUAAUUUGAACUCUGAUGGAGAAAACCUCUUGGUAUAUGGUAAACAGUAUGGUAAUGUCUUUAUCGGUGUUCAGCCCACAUUUGGAUAUGAGGGUGACCCGAUGAGACUUCUGUUCUCCAAAUCAGCUAGCCCUCACCAUGGGUUUGCUGCAUACUAUUCCUCGAGGGUGACCCAAUGAGACUUCUGUUCUCCAAAUCAGCUAGCCCUCACCAUGGGUUUGCUGCAUACUAUUCCUUUGUGGAGAAAAUUUUCAAAGCUGAUGCAGUUCUCCACUUUGGUACUCAUGGUUCUCUUGAGUUCAUGCCAGG
rnacentral:lncRNA from 1 species